rnacentral:rRNA from 1 species
UACAGAGGUCUCAAGCGUUGUUCGGAUUCAUUGGGCGUAAAGAGCGUGUAGGCGGCCAGACAGGUCCGUUGUGAAAACUAGAGGCUUAACCUCUAGACGUCGAUGGAAACCGUCUGGCUAGAGUCCGGAAGAGGAGAAUGGAAUUCCUGGUGGUAGCGGUGAAAUGCGCAGAUAUCAGGAAGAACACCCGUGGCUAAGGCGGCAUCCUGGACCGGGAUUGACACUGAGGCGCGAAAGCCAGGGGAGCAAACGGG